rnacentral:rRNA from 1 species
GGAAGUAAAAAAUCGUAACAAGGUCUCCGUUGGUGAACCAGC